CCCUCUUUUCUCUGGGUUUCCUCGUAGUACUAUUCCAGGUUACCACCUCGAACUUAGCCGUAAUCUAUGGUGGCAUUUUUCGUACUUCAUAGCCGGGUGAUACGUUAUUGAAGGCUGAAGAAAAGGUUAAGGAUGAGAAGCAAGCCGAGUGUGUGUGCAGAAAGAAAAGUUGUCUCUUGCAAGAAGGGUGUGUGGGAAUCAUGUGCUUGAUUUGUUUUUGUACUUGUCAUGUUAAAUGUUUACUACUUACGAGACCUUAUCUUGUAUGCCUUCGAAAACAAAAUUAAAUAAUAAAAUGAGUGAGUUUUUCUGAGCUGCAAUUUGCUUAAAGAGACUUUUGUUU
rnacentral:lncRNA from 1 species